GAUGAAGAACGCAGCGAAAUGCGAUACGUAGUGUGAAUUGCAGAAUUCAGUGAAUCAUCGAAUCUUUGAACCCACAUUGCACCUCUCGGUAUUCCGGGAGGUAUGCCUGUUCGAGCGUCAUUUGUACCCUCAAGCUCUGCUUGGUGUUGGGUGUUUGUUCCGCCUCUGUGUGUGAACUCGCCUCAAAACAAUUGGCAGCCGGCGUACUUGUUUCGGAGCGCAGCACAUUUUGCGAUCCAGAUCAACGUACAGCGGCAUCCAAGAAGCCUUAUUUAACGCUCUUGACCUCGGAUCAGGUAGGGAUACCCGCUGAACUUAAGCAUAUCAAUAAGCGGAGGA
rnacentral:misc_RNA from 1 species